rnacentral:misc_RNA from 1 species
GAUGAAGAACGCAGCGAAAUGCGAUAAGUAAUGUGAAUUGCAGAAUUCAGUGAAUCAUCGAAUCUUUGAACGCACAUUGCGCCCGCUAGUAUUCUGGCGGGCAUGCCUGUUCGAGCGUCAUUUCAACCCUCAGGCCCCCAGUGCCUGGCGUUGGGGAUCGGCGGAAGCCCCCUGUGGGCACACGCCGUCCCUCAAAUACAGUGGCGGUCCCGCCGCAGCUUCCAUUGCGUAGUAGCUAACACCUCGCAACUGGAGAGCGGCGCGGCCAUGCCGUAAAACACCCAACUUCUGAAUGUUGACCUCGAAUCAGGUAGGAAUACCCGCUGAACUUAAGCAUAUCAAUAAGCGGAGGA